CCAAGGAAAUACAAACCAAAAACCCAGUCGAUUUUAACAUUCUGGAGGCCGUGUUUAUCUUCUCAAGUUAAAAAGAGAAACCCCGGAAUUUUGGAAAAAAAAGGAAGAAUUAAUGCUGCUCACCUGGCUCGUGCUCAUGUGGCUGCCCGCAGGAACUAGGGAACAGGGUACGAGGCGCCGGAAGAAAUCUUCCAAAUCUCUAAUCUCUAACUUUUCAUCAAAUCGUUUUUGGAGUGAACAUCAUCUUACCUGAACUAUCACGAUGACAGCUAAACGGUCAACUUUACGUCUGAACUAUACGCCUCGGUUUGAAAUAAAGUAUUAUCUUUUCCACUGCUUUUGGAUCAUCAACAGAUUGUUCCACAUUAUCAGACCGUUCUUCGGGUUGGAUUUCUAAUCCUGAAACUCCAUGGAGCUUCGCCAAGGAGAGGAACAUAUCUCCGCUCUAUGUUGACAUUUGGAGCUCUUACAGCAAGGCUAAGGUUACCACCACACUCAUCCGAAGACAACUCUUCUUUCUGGGUUUACAGCAGCCAACAUCAAGGCUAAUAAUAACAAAACGACACUCAUCGGCCUUGGAAAUGCCUAACGCCGUGGCUCUUUCUAAGCGUGGAACUGUUCAGAUUGUAAAUUGUAAGCUAAGCAGCUCUGAAGACACACUUUCAUACAAAUGAGCAAAGAUAAUUAAAGUAUUAUUAUUAUUAUUAUUAUUAUUAUUAUUAGUAGUAGUAGUAGUAGUAGUAGUAGUAGUAGUAGUAGUAGUAUUAUUCAAUGUGACUGUUUUAAAUACUAUUGUAUUAGCUGUAUUGUAGUAUAACUAUUUUUAGGACUACUUAAAUACAUUUUCUUUCACACUGAAGCGCUGCUGUUGUCUGCUAGUUAAUGUAUAACCCCUCAAAUGGGUGAACUUUUUAAUUUGCCGAGUCUUAAGAAUUACCUCACUCUUUGCGAACACUGAAGUCAUUCAUACGCCAAAAGAAAGAGCCAUUAUAUAUGUCUGCAGCCUUAACAGAACUAAUUAGUCAAACAACACAACAAAAAAUACUUCUAACACGUUUGAUAAUGUUACGUGAAUACAUGUAGUAUUUGUGUUUUAACUGCCAAAUCUUUUGAAGAUAUAUUUUACCAUUGAUAAGAAAUUGGUUAAAUCCACAAGUUAUUUCUAAAAUCUAUUUUUUUGUAAUGUCGUUGUAAUGUUUUAUCUAUCAUGUCUGCCCUACUGUUUGCAUACUUGCACUUUAUGGAGUAUAUAUGUGUUGUGUUGGUCUAUGUUGCCAGGUGACUUCGCUCCACUGUGUACUUCAAUGCAACUGAAGCAAAAAAUAAAAUCUUUUGACUGAAAA